GAUUGAACGCUGGCGGCAGGCCUAACCCCUGCAAGUCGAGCGGAUGAAGGGAGCUUGCUCCUGGAUUCAGCGGCGGACGGGUGAGUAAUGCCUAGGAAUCUGCCUGGUAGUGGGGGAUAACGUCCGGAAACGGGCGCUAAUACCGCAUACGUCCUGAGGGAGAAAGUGGGGGAUCUUCGGACCUCACGCUAUCAGAUGAGCCUAGGUCGGAUUAGCUAGUUGGUGGGGUAAAGGCCUACCAAGGCGACGAUCCGUAACUGGUCUGAGAGGAUGAUCAGUCACACUGGAACUGAGACACGGUCCAGACUCCUACGGGAGGCAGCAGUGGGGAAUAUUGGACAAUGGGCGAAAGCCUGAUCCAGCCAUGCCGCGUGUGUGAAGAAGGUCUUCGGAUUGUAAAGCACUUUAAGUUGGGAGGAAGGGCAGUAAGUUAAUACCUUGCUGUUUUGACGUUACCAACAGAAUAAGCACCGGCUAACUUCGUG
rnacentral:rRNA from 1 species